GCCUGGGUGGGUCAGUUGGUUGAACAUCUGACUUUGGCUCAGGUCAUGAUCUCAUGGUUCGUGGGUUCGACCCCACAUCAGGUU
rnacentral:tRNA from 1 species